rnacentral:tRNA from 1 species
GGGUGGUUAACUCAGAUGGCAGAGUAGCUGACUCUUAAUCAGCAGGUCGCGUGUUCGAGCCACGCACCACCCACCA